CAGCACCUCAAGUGGUCAGGAUGAUUAUUGGGCCUAAAGCAUCCGUAGCCGGCGCUGUAAGUUUUCGGUUAAAUCUGUACGCUCGACGUACAGGCUGCCGGGAAUACUGCAGCGCUAGGGAGGGGGAGAGGUAGACGGUACUCGGUAGGAAGGGGUAAAAUCCUUUGAUCUAUUGAUGACCACCUGUGGCGAAGGCGGUCUACCAGAACACGUCCGACGGUGAGGGAUGAAAGCUGGGGGAGCAAACCGGAUUAGAUACCCGAGUAGUCC
rnacentral:rRNA from 1 species